GUGCACUUAGAGUUUUGAACUCUAUUGGAUAGGUUCAAGUCCUAUUUUCUUAGGAG
rnacentral:tRNA from 1 species